CACAGCAGGCACUCUCUCCCCUCUCCCUUCACAUGUGCUGCUCUCUUUGUUUCUGUUUUCCUCCUGAUCUCUCUCUCCCCCAUCUGGGUAGCCCCGCGACUUUUCUCCUGGGAGAGGCUGCUAAGGGACCAGGACUCCCCCACCAUGAUUCAAGACAGACUCGAGGGGAACGCCUCAAGACCUAAGGUUGAGGAGGACCGGGUUAGACAGCUUCCAGAGGGGCUGGCCGUGUUCAAGUCAGCAGGUCCAGAUGCUCUCCACCCCAUGGUGUUGAGGGAGCUAGCAGGGGUUAUUGCAGGGCCGUUGGCACAGCUUUAUGAGUGCUCGUGGUGCUUGGGUCAGGUUCCAGAUGAUUGGAAGAUGACCGAUGUGGUCCCCAUCUUUAAAAAAGGGAGGAGGGAGGACCCAGGCAACUAUAGGCCUGUCAGUCUUACCUCAAUCCUGGGGAAACUCUUUGAGAAGAUCAUCAAGGAGCACAUCUGUGAUGAGCUGGUAUCGGGGAUGAUGCUCACGGGCAACCAGCACGGUUUCAUUACAGGCAGGUCAUGUCAGACCAACCUGAUUGCCUUUUACGAUCAGGUCACAAAAGCAUUGGAUGCAGAUGUCGCCAUGGAUGUAGUCUUUCUGGAUUUCAGCAAGGCCUUUGACACUGUCAACCACCCCAUCCUCAUUAAAAAACUAGGCAACUGUGGCAUCGAUGCCUGCACAGUCAGAUGGAUUGCAAAUUGGCUGAAGGGUCGUACUCAGAGGGUGGUGGUGGACGGGGCAUAUUUGACCUGGGGGAAGUGGGCAGCAGAGUCCCCCAGGGCUCAGUCCUUUGGCCUGCACCCUUCAAUUUCUUUAUCAGCAAUUUGGACGAUGGGGUGAAAAGCAACCUGUUCAAAUUUGCAGAUGAUACCAAAAUUUGGGGUGAGGUGGGCACGUUAGUAGGGAGGGAAAGACUGAAGAAAGACCUCCGAAAUCUGGGACUGUCCUGGCCAAAGCCAGAUGUAUGGUCACCCUACUUAUAAUGAUCUCUCUCUCAAUUUUAACAGCAUGUGAUAUGGUAAGACAGACAAAAAAUGAAAUAUCUCUACCUCUUUUAAUCUCAAAUACUGUAUGAGAUCAUGUGCUCAACAGUAAGGGAAAAAAUGGGUUGACAGGAAAGUUCAUGCGCAACAGAUAUAAAGCCUGUGUCCCAGUCCUGCAGAGCUCGUAGUAUUUCUUGCAAUGAACCACUUAUCCUCAUCUCCUAUGCAAGGUAAAAUAGAAACUAAAGGCACUCAUUACCUUGCUAAAUAAGGCCCCAGAAGGCUUUGGCUCACAACUAACUCAAAUGUUUGUUUUCAGAAAAAUUUCACUGCUAAAUGCUUGCUCAAAGAUUAUUUCCGUUAGGAAAAAGAAAAGGCAAUGCUGCAUAUAUUUCAAGGACAGCACAGCCAAGCUUCAUAAAACCUCAUGGCUUACAUAUCCUCUUAGAUACACUGUCAGGUCAUACUGAAGAUGGAAACUGCAACAUUUUAACUAUUGACAGUAUUUAUAUUGCACCAGUUAAAAAGGCCCUUCUGCUUUGAGAUAUCAAGUAUUCCUAAAUAUUAAAAAACUAUUUUGAAUAAAAUGAGGAAUACUAAGGGAAACAGUAAUUACUAGGGCUGUGUGAAACAGCACCAUUUCAUUUCUACUUCCGUUUGACAUUUCAAUGGGACAGCAUUUCAUUUUGAGUUUCAUUUUGUUUUGAAACCACUGUUCUGUUUUGUUUCAUCAAAACUGUUUCACUGUUUUGAUGUUUUGCCCAUGGACUAUAAUGGGGAAGCACAAAACUGCCUACAAUUUUGUCUUUUCUUGAAGGGAUGGUAGCCUCUUCUAAGGCCACGAAACCUGCCAAGUUUCAAGGAGAUAGGUGCAGGAGUUUCUGGGAAACUGAACCUCAGACUGCUGACAAGCAAAACUCAUGACAUGUGUGGCUGCGUGUGUUUUCCAUCCCUCCUCCAGAGCACUUGAUUUGGAAGGGACAACGAGGAAGGAUGACAGUCACUGGCCAGCUACACAGUCCAUAUCAGAGCAGUCCUUCCCUCCUUUUUCCCCCACUUGCCCCUCCCUCUCCUUACUUUCUGUUUCCCUGCAGGCAAGCUCAGCUUCAGAAUUCAAAACUUUUUAAAACUUUCAAAAUGUUUUGAAUGCCCUCAUUUCAUUUUGAGGCUGUUUUGAAGCCCUUAAUUCAUUUCAAUUCCACUGUUUUGAGUUCAAAACAAGUCAAAACAGCAUCAAAAUGAAACAGCUGGUGAAAUUUCAUGCAGUCCUAGUAAUUAGAACCAGAAUCAGCAUAUAAAUACACUCUGUAAAUCUAUUACCAAAGUAAAACUAUAUCAUGACAGGAAUGUAAUCAAACUAAGUUGCGGUCUACCAGUACUAAAAGCCUUAUAGCUGGAUAUCAAAAUCUUACUUUUUGUUUACUCAAAGAGAAAACGGUAAGGGAGCAAUGGAAGAAUGUAGCCUUAUUCAUGGGCUUGUACUACUUUAGUGCUGCAUGCAUGAGUCAUGCUAGAAGAAUAGUUUGUUGGAUGAAACAAUCUGGUUUGAGAUCAAAUGGAAGAAUUCUUGAAUGUCUUUUAUGUGUUUUGUAAACUAAUAGGCCACGUACCAACGUUCAGUUUCUACUGGAGGAAUCUCUGUUCUCCAAGUCAAAGUAAAAGUGUGCAAAUGUUCAAGCUUUUUCUGUGAGAGCAAAAAUGUCCAUUCCAGGAGAGAAAUAACCUAGUGUAAUAUACUGUGUGAACUGAAUAUAAUUCACUGCAAUGUGCAUGUGCAACAGCAGGAAAGCAGCCCAGAUGACUAGAUUUGGACUGGAAGUUCCAAAAGUCCCCAAGAGGAACAGUCCUGCAGAGCUGUGCUGAGUGCAUGUAGACUACAACCCCCUGGAGACAAAGGGAGAGGGUGCAGAAAGCAGUGGCAGAGUGCAGGACACAGCGGCAGAAGGGAAUGCAUAGCUGGAGAUCCUAGAGGAGCGGCAGAUCUGGGACCGCGGACCGGAGCAGCGGGACUUGGACAUGGAAGCACGUGAAGACUGCAGUUGAGGACUCCAGACUAGAGGCUGGUUUGAAGCACUUCCAGAAGUAUGGGAGGGUUUGUUUCUUGAGUGUACAUACCAGUGGUAGUGCUACCUGUACUUGAGUGAAUUCACCAGUGUUGCUACUUAUUGCCUGUUACCUAGUCCCUAAUUGUACCUUAAUGUUAAUGUUAAUGUUUAUUUACCUGUUCCUUUCUCUUUAGCCCAUUGGCUUGUGACCCUGACCCCUAGCAUUUUCUAUAUAAAAAUGGGAGUUUCCCUUUUUUGCUUCCUGUACCAGUUUCUGGGGUUGUGGGGUUUAGUAUAGUAGGAACAACCAGGGUUAUAUUGUUCCCAGGAUAGUUUCCCCCCAGGAGACAGAAUGUCUGCACACUUCUCCCAGCUUAACUCCCCCUGAGCACACCUACACGUGCACAUUUAAUGUGCAGUAAUUUAGUUUACUGCUCAAUAACCUACACAGUACAGCUGUAUGUCUACAUAUGCACACCCAUACUGUGCAUUAACUAUGGUGACUUACACCGACUUGGAUGCAGGUAUCAAAUGUGAGCCUGAUUAAUUAGUGUGCAAUAAUGCACAUGUAGAUGACUUACUGUGCAGCAACUCUGUUUGUAUGGACUAACUUGGGAAUAAUUUUAGCCCUAUGUCAGUCCACAUACAGUAUUACUGCACUUUAAUGGCUGCAUGUGUAGACACUGGCCCAAAAAACGGUUAGUGCGCAGUAAAUGCACAUGUAGAUGCACCCCCUGAGAACCAGGAGGAAUGGAACCCAGAGAAAGGCCCCCGUGCUUUCUGGAGGCUAGGGCCUUCUGGAGGCCCCCAUCCCUUCUGAAAACUGCUGCUCUGCCCUGCUGUAGACAGAAGGGGAGGAGGGGCAGGAUGGGAAGCGGCCUCAAGCUGUUCCCUGCUUGCUUCUCACACUAGGAAUUCUUCUUCAGGAGUCUUGGUGUAAGAAGCAGGUAGGGGCUUCUGGGCACCUUCUCUCAGGCCUGUCAGCUUCCUCUUGCCUUCCCUCACCUGAGUGGCAGGGGUGGUAAUUGAAAAGCCAGACAUUGGUCUUGCAAGCCUUGCUCUCACCUGCACUGGCUUCCCUUGUAUUCCCCAUUCCACUCAGAUGAUUGGUGAGGGCAGGGUUAGAGGGACUAGAAGCCCACCUUGCAGAGGCUUUCCUGAAAUGUGCUCCCAUCCCCACUGACUUCCCCUUACUGCCCAGCUGACCCAGGGCAGACUUGAUCAAGGCAGGCUGCUGUGCCACAUGGCAAGCUCAGGAGCCUUCCUGCCACAGCAAAAUGCCCUUGCCUCACACCUCACUGUGCUGUUAGCCUGGAGCAGAGCAGGGCAGGGUGAAAUAGGCUGCUAUGCCCCUUCAGCAAGGCUCCCAGAGCCUUGCAACAGUAGCUAAUUGGUCCUCCCUAUCUGCAGUCCUCCAGGGGAUCUCAGAAAAGUGCAAGGAGCAGAGCUGGGAGAGGUCCCACCCUGGGAGAAUGGCUUCUUCCUGUCAGUCACCUGAUUGAUGGGAUGGGGGUGCAUUCUCCCAGGGUUGGAGUCAUCCCAGGGCUGUCUAUGACAGCUGCUGCUUUUCAGUCACUGCCAAAUAUCACUUAAUAAACUACCCCCUUCCCAGGCAGAAGAGAGGGCAGGCAGUUGAUUAAUGAGCUCUCCUAAGGGCAGACAUGGCCCAGGGAGCAGCCAUCUGGUGCCCCUUGGCUAGAGAAAUUGCCUAUGAAGCUUUCCAGCUAUGGGGCUGGAGGAACAUCUGUACAGUCUAACUCCCAGAAUGUUUGUAUGCAGCCACAAUGUGUAAUGUUUAACACCACUGCUGGCCACCCUAUUUAAUAUAUUAUCUAUAACUUUAUUGCUUCCCCCAGCCGGUAGGAUGGCAAUUAGUGACAUCCUUGGCUCCCCUACCCUGGUAUGUUACAGGGUUUUUAACUGGUUCUCUGUGGCUGAACAAAGUAGAUCAGAGGUGUCAGAGAUAUGGCCUAUGGAUUUGGCCCAUUAUCUGGCCCCCCGUGCUGCCCCUGGGUCUGGAGUUGACGCACAUACAGCAUGCAGCAUGUGCCAUGUGCCAGAUAGGCCCAUGUGCAGGUCCUGGGGUAUGUGCCACAUGCAGAGCAUGCUAGAGCUGGCCUGGGACCCACGCUGUACACUAUGUCUGCCCCGGCCUGUCCAGGAUGUGUACCACAUGCACUGCAUGUGGUAUGCAUCUGGAAGUUCCAGGACUUUCCAGGACUAAUACCUGAUCAAUGUGUGUGGACUGACUUUAGUCCCAAGUCAGUCCACACACAGUGUUACUGCACUGUAAUGGCUCGACAUGUAGACGCCAGCCUUUCUAGAUGUUCCAGGACUUGUGCUCCAUAUGACAACACCUCUUCCCCCCACCAGCUGCUCUAGUGUGACUGGCCAGAGAGGACACUGUGUACACUGGAUCCAGUAGGGGGGAGGCCAACUGGAUUAUGGGCCUGGUUUUUCCUGCAGGGAUGGCACUGCACCACUCAUCUAGCCCACGGGGCUAAAUUAGUUUAACACCCUCGAGUAGAUGAUCUUGUGAAAAAAUGUUUGCCUGAAAGUGCAGGAAACUGGACUUGAUGGCUGAGAGGCCCCUUCUGCACACCUAUAGCAUGCCUUAUAUUUAAAGAUGAGCUACACAGAAUCAUUAUCUCUCCCAAUUUAUAGAGGUAGAUGUACUCACCCUUCCGGUAAUGUGAUCACAAAGACUUUGCUAAAGCUUUGGUCAAAGUAGGCCUGGCCAGAAAACCUGAUCAAUGCAUGAGCUCUUUACAUAAGCAAAACUUGGCAUGUGCGCCAGAUGGGCACUCUUGCCAGAAGGUGGAAGGGGGAGAUGGCUGCACAAAGUGUAGGAUAUCCCAGUGCCUGUAUGAUAAGACUAGAACAGGAACACUUAGGUCAGGAUGUGAAGAAACCCAUGGUGCAGGAUGGUUUGAGAAAUUCAAGAUGCAGGUGGAAUGCAAAUACUUAAUUUGAUUUGAUCAGCGUAUAAAAAAGGGAUAGAAAGUAUGGGAAAUUUGAAGUGGCCUAGGGGAUCCUGUGUGGUGUAGUUGUGACUACCUUGUCACAGGCACAAAUGCUGUAAUUCCUGGUCUGAUGUACUUGUUAGUCCAAAAUAUGUUAGGGCUGUUCUUGUAGACAAUAAACCUGGCUAAAUCUUUGCAACUGAA